UACCAGUCUGGGUAACAUAGUGAGACCUUGUCUUUGAAAAAUAAUAAUACAUACCCACAUCUGGACAUACGCAGUUCUUCCAUGUUAAUGAGUAUUUUGUGUUUCACACACUUCUGAAUUAGCUGAAGGAAUUAAAAGGUAUCAUCUUUUUUUUU